rnacentral:lncRNA from 1 species
UUAUUAAUCGUGGCAAAAAAUAUACUUCAUUCUUCAACAAAAAGUUAUAACAAGGGAAAUUAGUUGUUACAAUGGAUGAACAACAGAAAAAAAUGGUCUGUGUGGAGGAGGAAGUCAUUUAUUUAGUUUAGGUCAAAUUGACACCAUGUUGAAUAUGGAAGUGGAUGGUCUUAAUGGCUCUGUAGAAAGUUAGAAGGAAGCACAAGCAAUGGAAGCGAAAGAUGAAAUUGAAAGAUAUGAUGUGCUCAAUUUGACAUUUCCAAAUUCCAUGAAGAUAAAUUGAAGAAAUUUCCAUGAAAGAUUAAUUCGCAGAGACGAUGGUAUCGAGGUUCGUUCUACCCACACACAAGAAUACAUAGGCAGACCGAUAUAUGGCGUGUACGUACGUGUACACAAGCACACACACAAAUACACACGCACACACACAUACAUAAAACAUACAAGCAGCACAUGUACACCUGUUAUUCUUCGCGAUGUUAAUAAAAGUUUCAAUCCCUCUGUC